GACGAACGCUGGCGGCGUGCUUAACACAUGCAAGUCGAACGAAGUGGCGAACGUGUGAGUAACGCGUAAUCAACCUGCCCUUCAGAGGGGGACAACAGUUGGAAACGACUGCUCAUACUGCAUACUGAAGUUGGGGAUUGCGUCUGAUUAGCUAGUUGGAGGGGUAACGGCCCACCAAGGCGAUGAUCAGUAGCCGGGCUGGGGGGAGGAACGGCCACAUUGGGACUGAGACACGGCCCAGACUCCUACGGGGGGCAGCAGUGGGGAAUCUUCCGCAAUGGACGAAAGUCUGACGGAGCAACGCCGCGUGAGUGAUGACGGGCUUCGGGUUGUAAAGCUCUGUUAAUCGGGACGCGGUACCGGAAUAGAAAGCCACGGCUAACUACGUGCCAGCAGCCGCGGUAAUAC
rnacentral:rRNA from 1 species